GGACCCGCACAAGCAGUGGAGCAUGUGGUUUAAUUCGAUGAUACGCGAGGAACCUUACCAGGGUUUAAAUGCAGAACGACAGGGGUGGAACACCCCCCUUCUUCGGACGGACUGCAAGGUGCUGCAUGGUUGUCGUCAGCUCGUGCUGUGAAGUGUCGGGUUAAGUCCCAUAACGAGCGCAACCCCCAUUUCUAGUUGCCAGCGGUUCGGCCGGGGACUCUAGAGAAACUGCCAGCGUAAGCUGUGAGGAAGGUGGGGAUGACGUCAAAUCAUCACGGCCCUUACAUCCUGGGCCACACACGUGCUACAAUGGUAGGGACAACAGGUUGCCAACCCGCGAGGGUGAG
rnacentral:rRNA from 1 species